CAACUUGAGAGUUUGAUCCUGGCUCAGAACGAACGCUGGCGGCAGGCUUAACACAUGCAAGUCGAGCGCCCCGCAAGGGGAGCGGCAGACGGGUGAGUAACGCGUGGGAAUCUACCCAUCUCUACGGAACAACUCCGGGAAACUGGAGCUAAUACCGUAUACGUCCUUCGGGAGAAAGAUUUAUCGGAGAUGGAUGAGCCCGCGUUGGAUUAGCUAGUUGGUGGGGUAAUGGCCUACCAAGGCGACGAUCCAUAGCUGGUCUGAGAGGAUGAUCAGCCACACUGGGACUGAGACACGGCCCAGACUCCUACGGGAGGCAGCAGUGGGGA
rnacentral:rRNA from 1 species